GUCGUGGGCUGCUGCAUGCACACUGUUGAUAGAAUUCCCAGUGGAAAUCCGUUAUAUGAAUCUUACUAUAAGCAGGUGGACCCUGCCUACACAGGGAGAGUUGGGGCCAGCGAGGCUGCGCUGUUUCUGAAGAAGUCGGGGCUCUCUGACAUCAUCCUGGGGAAGAUAUGGGACUUGGCGGACCCCGAAGGUAAAGGGUUCUUGGACAAACAGGGUUUCUAUGUUGCACUGAGAUUGGUGGCCUGUGCACAGAGUGGCCAUGAAGUCACCUUGAGCAAUCUGAGCCUUACCAUGCCACCACCGAAAUUUCAUGACACCAGCAGCCCACUGAUGGCCACACAACCGUCUACAGAGACCCACUGGGCUGUGCGGGUGGAAGAGAAGGCAAAGUUUGAUGGCAUCUUUGAAAGCCUUCUACCAGUCAAUGGUCUGCUUUCUGGAGACAAGGUCAAGCCAGUCCUCAUGAACUCGAAACUACCUCUGGAUGUGCUGGGCAGGGUCUGGGACCUCAGUGACAUUGACAAAGACGGACAUCUGGAUCGAGAUGAGUUUGCUGUGGCCAUGCACUUGGUGUACCGCGCCUUGGAGAAGGAGCCAGUGCCCUCUGUUCUGCCUCCAUCCCUCAUCCCACCCUCCAAGAAGAAGAAGACAGUGUUUGCAGGUGCUGUGCCUGUCUUGCCUGCCAGCCCUCCACCCAAAGACAGCCUCCGCUCCACACCAUCCCACGGCAGUGUCAGCAGCCUCAACAGCACAGGCAGCCUGUCACCGAAGCACAGCGUCAAGCAGACUCAGCCACCAGUGACCUGGGUGGUGCCUGUGGCAGAUAAGAUACGCUUUGAUGAGAUCUUCUUGAAGACUGACCUGGACCUUGACGGCUAUGUGAGUGGCCAGGAGGUGAAGGAGAUCUUCAUGCACUCGGGCCUCACACAGAACCUUCUGGCACACAUUUGGGCCCUGGCUGAUACGAGACAAACGGGGAAGUUAAGCAAAGAGCAAUUCGCGCUAGCUAUGUAUUUCAUUCAGCAGAAGGUCAGUAAAGGCAUCGAUCCUCCUCAAGUCCUCUCGCCUGACAUGGUGCCACCCUCGGAGAGAGGCACUCCCAUUCCAGAUAGUUCAAGUGCUCUCGGGUCAGGGGAGUUCACUGGUGUAAAAGAGCUGGAUGACAUUAGCCAGGAGAUCGCUCAGUUGCAGAGAGAGAAGUACUCACUGGAACAGGACAUCAGAGAGAAGGAAGAGGCCAUCAGACAGAAAACCAGUGAAGUGCAGGAGCUGCAGAAUGACCUGGACAGGGAGACCAGCAGUCUGCAGGAGCUUGAGGCUCAGAAGCAGGGUGCUCAGGACCGCCUGGACGAGAUGGACCAGCAGAAGUCCAAGCUUCGGGACAUGCUGAGUGACGUGCGUCAGAAAUGCCAGGAUGAGACCCAGAUGAUCUCAUCAUUGAAAACCCAGAUUCAGUCUCAAGAGUCAGACUUGAAGUCCCAGGAAGACGACCUCAACCGGGCCAAGUCAGAGCUGAAUCGGCUGCAGCAGGAGGAGACACAGCUGGAACAGAGCAUCCAAGCCGGGCGUGCCCAGCUGGAGACCAUCCUCAAGUCCCUGAAGUCCACGCAGGAUGAGAUCAACCAGGCAAGAAGCAAGCUAUCGCAGCUGCAGGAGAACCGCCUAGAAGCUCACCGGAGCCUAGAACAGUAUGACCAGGUGUCUGAUGGGGUCUCUGGCACCAGCCUGCCUGACCUGGCCACCCUGAGUGAAGGCGUCUUGCUGGCAGAGAGGGGCGGCUUUGGAGCCAUGGUAAAGGUCGAGACGAUCCUUUCAAAAACAAAGCCUUACUGUUUAGCAGCAACUCCCAAGACCUGCAUCCAGACCCCUUCCAGGCGGAGGACCCCUUCAAGUCUGACCCGUUUAAAGGAGCUGACCCUUUCAAAGGUGACCCCUUCCAGAAUGAUCCCUUCACAGAACAGCAGACAGCAGCCACAGACCCAUUUGGAGGAGACCCUUUCAAAGAAAGUGACCCAUUCCAUAGCUCAACCACUGAUGACUUCUUCAAGAAACAGACAAAGAACGACCCAUUUACCUCAGACCCCUUCACGAAGAACCCUUCCUUACCUCCAAAGCUUGACCCAUUUGAAUCCAGUGAUCCCUUCUCUUCCUCCAGCAUCUCCUCAAAAGGAUCAGAUCCCUUUGGGACCCUAGAUCCCUUUGGAAGCAGCUCCUUCAGCAGUGCCGAGGGCUUCGCUGACUUCAGCCAAAUGUCCAAGAUGUGGAACUCCAGGAGAUGUGGUAGCCAGCACCCAGGCAUGGGUCCCCCCUCUCCCUCCAUGCCCUCUUCACUGGUGUCCUAACUGCCCAGGAAUUGUGAGGUGCCAAAGGCUGGCAGCAGCAGCAGCAUGCAGUGUGACCUGCUGCUUCCAAAACCAUUUGACACACUGCACGUUUUCAGCACAGUGACAGACCUACACAGAAGCACAAGGAGGCCUGGCUUCUAGCAGGAGACCUGCAGUUGGCACACUCAGGAGCCCUGUGCAUACAGGUCCAGGAGCAGCGGGAGUCCUGUGCAUACAGGUCCAGGAGCAGCCAGUAUCAUAGGCAGCACCUGACAUUGGAGAAGCAGAGGCAGCCAUGAGCCCUGGGAACCCAGCUUCUGCAAUCAGGACAUGUUGGCCACAUGGGGGCAGCAGCCUACAAGGGCUGGUGAUCAGUGCUGUCUCAGGUUAUGGGCUCCUUCCUGUCUAGGCUUGGAACCUGUUCCCUGCUUAUUGUCAGCCCCAGAGAAGGCCUGAGCAAGUGUACAAGGUAUCUGCAGUUGUAGGUUUCUGAAUGAAAGGAGUUUUCUCUGCUGCACUGUGACCACUGGCUGGUUGCCCAUAUGAGCAUGGGCAGCUAAUUAAGCUCAGUCACAGAAAGAACCUGAAAACUAAAGACGUAGGAGUAGGAGUGAAAGCGGGGGUUUCUGGGGACUGGGAAGGAAUGAUAUUACACUCACGUGAAAAUGUUAAUGAGUUCUAAGUGUUCAGUGAGAGGCCAUGGCUAUGGACAUGGCUGGGGCAGGGUCUGGGCCGCUCUCCACUUCAAUCAAAUGCUGGGAUUCAAGGCUAGAGUGGAUACUGGCUGCCACCCCUAUUCAAUCCUUCCUUGUCUCUCUGCCCAAACACCCUCCAGUUGCAUAGGCCUCAUUCUGAGGAACCCGCAGAUAAGCCUGUGUGUCCUCCCCCACUCCCCUCCCCACAACUGGGAUAGGAAAGCCAGGCCCACUUCCUGUUGUCGGCACCAGGCCAGGACACAGUUGGCCAGGGCUAUGGAAAAUCCUGUCCCGUGCACUGUUUAUACCAUCCUGGGGCUCCUUGACUUCAUGACACUUGUAAAGCCUGUGCCUGCCCCUCCCCCCACCCUCCCCCACCCCAAUGAUUUUCCUCUCUGGUUACCUUGCUAGUUUUCAAGAACAACACCCGGUAUAAAUAAAACU